AUACUUUCUUGGCAGGGGAGAUACCAUGAUCAUGAAGGUGGUUUUCCCAGGGUGAGGCUUAUCUAUUGCACCUCAGAAGUGCUGACUCCUAAAAUUUCCCCAAAUGUGGGAAACAUGACUGCAUAAUUUGUGGUAGAGGGGGACUGUGUUUACGUUCUCCCCUG
rnacentral:snRNA from 1 species